AGUUCCCGCCGCUCGCGCCCGCGGGGUCAGCCCGGCCCAGCUUCUGGGGUCUGGAGGAUUCCCGUUUCGGCCUGGCCUGGGGUCGUGGGGCGGCCCACCCUGGAGGGCCCCGCGGGGUGACCCCUGUCCCGGCCGCCGCGGCCGUCCCCGCGUCCAGGCCUGCGCGGGGCGCUGCGCCGUGGGCUCCUGCACCUGCUCCUCCCGGCGCCCCCUCGUCCCCCUCCGAGACGCUCCCAGACAUCCUCUCUGGAAGCCUCUUGCAAACCAAGGUUAAAUUCAAAGUCCCCAGCCCACCGAAUGGACCCUCCGCUCCUCUACAGGGCUUCCAGAGAAACCUGGAAAACCAGCUCAGGCCCUGCCGCAAAGGGGGUCGGACCCGCUCCGCCCUCUCCCUCUGGGCGCUGUGCUUAGAGACUCAGGCCUCACCGAUGGCUCUAGCCUCCAGAUCCCAAAUUCCAGCCUCACACUGGCACAGCCUCACGUGGCAGACAGCAGGCCCGAAGGCAGGCAAAGUAUUCCACCCUAAAAUACAUUCCUUUCACAUGUUUUGAUAUGGCACUGCACAGCUGUCUCUUGAGGGGGCGAAAUUCGCGUUUUCUAGAGAAGCUCCUUCCCUUAGGAGGUCGGGCACCUUUUGUCCACUCACGUCAACUCUUUUUUUUUUUUUUUUUUUUUUGAGACAGAAUCUCGCUCUGUGGCCCAGGCUGGAGUGCAGUGGCAUGAUCUCGGCUCACUGCAACCUCUACCUCCUGGGUUCAAGCGAUUCUCCUGCCUCAGCCUCCUAAGUAGCUGGGAUUACAGGCGCGUGCUACCACGCCUGGCUAAUAUGUAUAUAUACACACACGUAUGUAUAUAUAUAUAUACACACACACACAUAUAUAGUGUAUAUAUACACAUAUAUAUACGUAUAUAUAUACACUAUAUAUGUAUAUACAUAUAUGUAUAUGUGUAUAUAUGUGUAUAUAUACAUGUAUAUGUGUAUAUAUGUGUAUAUAUAUACAUGUAUAUGUGUAUAUAUAUACAUGUAUAUGUGUAUAUAUAUACAUGUAUAUGUGUAUAUAUAUACAUGUAUAUGUGUAUAUAUAUACAUGUAUAUGUGUAUAUAUAUAUACAUGUAUAUGUGUAUAUAUGUUUUGUAUUUUUAGUAGAGAUGGUGUUUCACCAUGUUGGCCAGGCUGGUCUCGAACUCCUGACCUCAGGUGAUCUGCCUGCCUCAGCCUUCCAAAGUGCUGGGAUUACAGGCGUGAGUAAUCCCACUUUAACUCUUUAGGCAAAACAUAACUCUUUCAACCACUUGCCAAUCAGGAAAUCUUUGAAUCCCCUAUGACCUGGAAGCUGCCCCUGCCAA
rnacentral:lncRNA from 1 species